rnacentral:rRNA from 1 species
GACGAACGCUGGCGGCGUGCUUAACCCAUGCAAGUCGAACGGUGAAGCGCCUUCCUUUUUGGUGGGUGUGGAUGAGUGGCGAACGGGUGAGUAACACGUGAGUAACCUGCCCCCUUCUUCUGGAUAACCGCAUGAAAGUGUGGCUAAUACGGGAUAUUCUGGGUCUGUCGCAUGAUGGGUCUGGGAAAGAUAUUGUUUCGGUGGGGGAUGGGCUCGCGGCCUAUCAGCUUGUUGGUGGGGUGAUGGCCUACCAAGGCGGUGACGGGUAGCCGGCCUGAGAGGGUGGACGGUCACACUGGGACUGAGACACGGCCCAGACUCCUACGGGAGGCAGCAGUGGGGAAUAUUGCACAAUGGGCGCAAGCCUGAUGCAGCGACGCCGCGUGAGGGAUGGAGGCCUGCGGGUUGUGAACCUCUUUCGCCAGUGAAGCAGGCCUGCCUCGUUUGUGGGUGGGUUGACGGUAGCUGGAUAAGAAGCGCCGGCUAACUACGUG